UACGUAGGGUGCAAGCGUUGUCCGGAUUUAUUGGGCGUAAAGAGCUCGUAGGCGGUCUGUCGCGUCGGAUGUGAAAACCCAGGGCUCAACCCUGGGCCUGCAUUCGAUACGGGCAGACUAGAGUAUGGCAGGGGAGACUGGAAUUCCUGGUGUAGCGGUGAAAUGCGCAGAUAUCAGGAGGAACACCGGUGGCGAAGGCGGGUCUCUGGGCCAAAACUUACGCUGAGGAGCGAAAGCGUGGGGAGCGAACAGG
rnacentral:rRNA from 1 species